rnacentral:rRNA from 1 species
AACGAACGCUGGCGGCAGGCUUAACACAUGCAAGUCGAACGCCCCGCAAGGGGAGUGGCAGACGGGUGAGUAACGCGUGGGAAUCUACCCAGUUCUACGGAACAACAGUUGGAAACGACUGCUAAUACCGUAUACGCCCUAAGGGGGAAGGAUUUAUCGGAAUUGGAUGAGCCCGCGUAAGACUAGCUAGUUGGUGGGGUAAUGGCCUACCAAGGCGACGAUCUUUAGCUGGUCUGAGAGGAUGAUCAGCCACACUGGGACUGAGACACGGCCCAGACUCCUACGGGAGGCAGCAGUGGGGAAUAUUGGACAAUGGGCGCAAGCCUGAUCCAGCCAUGCCGCGUGAGUGAUGAAGGCCUUAGGGUUGUAAAGCUCUUUCACCGAUGAAGAUAAUGACGGUAGUCGGAGAAGAAGCCCCGGCUAACUUCGUGCCAGCCGCCGCCGUAAGAC